rnacentral:rRNA from 1 species
CCUACGGGAGGCAGCAGUGAGGAAUAUUGGUCAAUGGACGAGAGUCUGAACCAGCCAAGUAGCGUGAAGGAUGACUGCCCUAUGGGUUGUAAACUUCUUUUAUAUGGGAAUAAAAUGUUCCACGUGUGGGAUUUUGUAUGUACCAUAUGAAUAAGGAUCGGCUAACUCCGUGCCAGCAGCCGCGGUAAUACGGAGGAUCCGAGCGUUCUCCGGAUGUAUUGGGUUUAAAGGGAGCGUAGGUGGAUUGUUAAGUCAGUUGUGAAAGUUUGCGGCUCAACCGUAAAAUUGCAGUUGAAACUGGCAGUCUUGAGUACAGUAGAGGUGGGCGGAAUUCGUGGUGUAGCGGUGAAAUGCUUAGAUAUCACGAAGAACUCCGAUUGCGAAGGCAGCUCACUGGACUGCAACUGACACUGAGGCUCGAAAGUGUGGGUAUCAAACAGGAUUAGAUACCCUUGUAGUC